UACGUAGGGUGCAAGCGUUGUCCGGAAUUAUUGGGCGUAAAGAGCUCGUAGGCGGUCUGUCGCGUCGGAUGUGAAAAUCCAGGGCUUAACCCUGGACCUGCAUUCGAUACGGGCAGACUAGAGUUCGGUAGGGGAGACUGGAAUUCCUGGUGUAGCGGUGAAAUGCGCAGAUAUCAGGAGGAACACCGGUGGCGAAGGCGGGUCUCUGGGCCGAUACAGACGCUGAGGAGCGAAAGCGUGGGGAGCGAACAGG
rnacentral:rRNA from 1 species